UUAUCCUUCUUUACACGAGAGGAACGGGCGGAACGGACCGCUCUUAAAUUUUCUAUUCCUUAAUAUGCACGAGAGACACCGUGUUCCGUUUUCCUAAAGUGGAAUUUACUACGGUGUUUCGAACGAAACCGAUCGGACAGAUUAGAAUCUACGCACGAAUAAUUUUUACAACGUAUUAUUCGAAACUUGGAAACGAGUCUAAUGUAUAAUAAUAAGAUGAACCAGCGACAUAACCUAUAAACUCGCAUACGAGUUUCAACAAGUGUUUCUUUCCGACGAAUGAUUCUCGCGAGUGGGAUGACGAUCAGGGAAAAUCGAGCGCGUGUUUUCCGCGCGGUGAUAAUCGCCGACAAUUCCAACAAUAAUGACGUUUAUUAGCGGAUUAAUUAAAACCGAGGCACGGCCGUAAUAAUCACUUUGCCAGCCAUUCUAAUGAACUUAAUUAUCGGCCACCGGGAUCUCGUGAAAUCGCGCAUUGUAUGCAACGUUACGGCCACCGUGGUGUGAUGUAAACCAGAGGCUGAUUAGUAUUCCGCUGUUGCGCCCGACUAUUUAUAUACGAUGGAUCGCGUGUACGUACACGGGGCAACCGAGUAUUUAUAUUCCGCUUAUUAAUAUAUCGCGUGAGCGCGCGCGCGCGCGCCCCUACGUAAUUGACUGCGAAUCGGUGUUGCGGAGAAGAACAAUCGGACUGUAUACGGAAAGAAGUAAAUUUGCCUCGACGUAAAGGACGUAAACAAGGGAAUGGAAUGGAACUGGAACGAAUCGCGGCUCGCCGCGGGGGAUCGUACGGAAAACAAGAUCUCAUCAAGAUAGCCGGACGCACAACGUUGCAACUGCCAUCCACCAUUAACCAGGCUCUCUCUUCUUUUUCUCUUGGGAGAAGAGGAGAAACUUCCUUCCAAGCUAGAGCUUUUCCGAUCGAAGAAGAGCGUGCGAGCGGGCAAGAAAGGCGAGGCAAGGCCGGUUCUUACAUCCGCGUCACUCUCUCCAGGGCCCGUAAUUACCGGGAUCGGCCUUCACCGCGGCAAUUUGUCAAGGCUGUAAUAAUCCCCGUGGCGGACCUAUGGCAUUGUAU